rnacentral:rRNA from 1 species
UAGGGAAUCUUCGGCAAUGGGGGGAACCCUGACCGAGCAACGCCGCGUGAGUGAAGAAGGUUUUCGGAUCAUAAAGCUCUGUUGUUAAGGAAGAACGAGUGUGAGAAUGGAAAGUUCAUACUGUGACGGUACUUAACCAGAAAGGGACGGCUAACUACGUGCCAGCAGCCGCGGUAAUACGUAGGUCCCGAGCGUUGUCCGGAUUUAUUGGGCGUAAAGCGAGCGCAGGCGGUUAGAUAAGUCUGAAGUUAAAGGCAGUGGCUCAACCAUUGUAGGCUUUGGAAACUGUUUAACUUGAGUGCAGAAGGGGAGAGUGGAAUUCCAUGUGUAGCGGUGAAAUGCGUAGAUAUAUGGAGGAACACCGGUGGCGAAAGCGGCUCUCUGGUCUGUAACUGACGCUGAGGCUCGAAAGCGUGGGGAGCGAACAGG